AAUACUUGACUAUCCCUGAUUAGGUCUUGUUAACGUCGUUUAGUUAUUCUGUAGCAUACUGGGUUAAAAGUGUUUACGCUAUUUCACCAUUGUUUCGUAUGAUGGCUUCUAAGACAAUUGGAGCAACUGUACGAGCUGUUAAAGGACGAAGGAUGAUUCCAACAAAACAAGCAUUAGUUUUGACACAAGCUGCAGUUUCAAGAGUCAAAGAACUUCUUCAACAAAAUCCUGAAGCUAAUGCACUUAAGGUGGGAGUAA